rnacentral:rRNA from 1 species
UAACCUGCCCAAGAGAUCGGGAUAACACCUGGAAACAGAUGCUAAUACCGGAUAAUAACAGAUGAUGCCUAUCAACUGUUUAAAAGAUGGUUCUGCUAUCACUCUUGGAUGGACCUGCGGUGCAUUAGCUAGUUGGUAGGGUAACGGCCUACCAAGGCGAUGAUGCAUAGCCGAGUUGAGAGACUGAUCGGCCACAUUGGGACNGAGACACGGCCCAAACUCCUACGGGAGGCAGCAGAC